AUUUAUAUAGUAUAAAAAUUACAAUUGAUUUCCAAUCAAAAAAUCUAUUAUUAACUAGUAUAAAUA
rnacentral:tRNA from 1 species